rnacentral:sRNA from 1 species
AUAUGACCUCGUUAGGUGAGGCUCCUAUACAAACACAGGCCACUGCCCGGAAACAUCGAAAGAUGCCAAUGGGUAGAACAGGGAUUGCCGGAUUAAGGCUUUUCAUAAGGUGGCUAAGGGAUCUUGUAUCUCUUUACGUUGUAUAGUGCUAAAGCUCGACUAGGGGGAACCGGU